GUCGAACGAUUAAACUUUCCUUCGGGAAAGAUAUAAAGUGGCGCACGGGUGAGUAACACGUAAGUAAUCUACCUUUGAGUGGGGAAUAACGUCGGGAAACCGACGCUAAUACCGCAUAAUGCAGCGGCAUCGUAAGAUGACAGUUGUUAAAGAUUUAUCGCUUGAAGAGGAGCUUGCGGCAGAUUAGCUUGUUGGUAAGGUAACGGCUUACCAAGGCUACGAUCUGUAUCCGACCUGAGAGGGUGGUCGGACACACUGACACUGAAUAACGGGUCAGACUCCUACGGGAGGCAGCAGUCGGGAAUUUUGGGCAAUGGGCGAAAGCCUGACCCAGCAACGCCGCGUGAAGGAUGAAGUAUUUCGGUAUGUAAACUUCGAAAGAAUAGGAAGAAUAAAUGACGGUACUAUUUAUAAGGUCCGGCUAACUACGUGCCAGCAGCCGCGGUAAUACGUAGGGACCAAGCGUUGUUCGGAUUUACUGGGCGUAAAGGGCGCGUAGGCGGCAAUUCAAGUCAUCUGUGAAAUCUCCGGGCUUAACUCGGAACGGUCAGAUGAUACUGCUUUGCUAGAGUGCAGAAGGGGCAAUCGGAAUUCUUGGUGUAGCGGUGAAAUGCGUAGAUAUCAAGAGGAACACCUGAGGUGAAGACGG
rnacentral:rRNA from 1 species